rnacentral:antisense_RNA from 2 species
CACCGACAUCAGCGAUUCAUUCUGCGAACCGUGGCCGACCGCCAGAUAAGCGUUCAUACCCAGUUCGCGCAUUUGCUGUUCGCCGAUCACGCGGGUAAUGACAUUUUUGCUGUAGCUGUCGGCCAACUGGCGCGCCUGUGACGCCAGGUAGGCGGCGUUACAGAUAUUGGGCGGCAUGUUGCCGAGAUCUUUCGC